rnacentral:rRNA from 1 species
CUGUUGCGGUUAAAGCUCGUAGUUGGGUUUCUGUCGGUGAGCGAAGGUCCGCCCUAGUGGUUGGUACACUUCGCGCCGCCGACAUCUUCCUGGGGAAUGUGUCUGCACUUCACUGUGUGGCGCGGGAACCAGGACGUUUACUUUGAGGAAAUUACAGUGCUUCAAGCAGGCUCACGCUCUCUGAAUACGUUAGCAUGGAAUAAUAGCAUCGGACCUCGAUCCAAAGCUGUUGGUUUCUUGGAUCUGGGUAAAGGUGAAUAGGGAUUGUUGGGGGCAUUCGUAUUUAACUGUCAGAGGUGAAAUUCUUGGAUUUGUUGAAGACGGACUACUGCGAAAGCAUCUGCCAAAGAUGUUCUCAUUGAUCAAGAACGAAAGUUAGGGGAUCGAAGACGACCAGAUACCGUCCUAGUCUUAACCAUAAACUAUGCCGACUGGAGAUCGGUGGCUGCUAUCAUUAUGGCACCAUCUGCAUCUUGAGAGAAAUCAAAGUCUUUGGGUUCCGGGGGGAGUAUGGUCGCAAGGCUGAAACUUAAAGGAAUUGACGGAAGGGCACCACCAGGAGUGGAGCCUGCGGCUUAAUUUGACUCAACACGGGAAAUCUCACCAGGCCCGGACACUGGAAGGAUUGACAGAUUGAGAGCUCUUUCUCGAUUCGGUGGGUGGUGGUGCAUGGCCGUUCUUAGUUGGUGGAGUGAUUUGUCUGGUUAAUUCCGAUAACGAACGAGACUCUGUCCUGCUAAAUAGUUGGCACGUCCUUUGCUGCGUGUCA